UUUUUUUUUUUUUUUUUUAAUUUUUAUUUAUUUAUGAUAGUCACACAGAGAGAGAGAGAGGCAGAGACACAGGCAGAGGGAGAAGCAAGCUCCAUGCACCGGGAGCCCAACAUGGGACUCGAUCCCGGGUCUCCAGGACCGUGCCCUGGGCCAAAGGCAGGCGCCAAACCGCUGCGCCACCCAGGGAUCCCCCAGAGGUGCUUUCUGCAGCAGGAACUGGCCCGCAGGGACCUCCGCCCUCUUGUCCAUCCGGGGUGCUUACACGUGCCAGGGAGCCUCCCCCUGCUCUCCGAAGGCAUCCCUAGGAGCCACCCAGCCUGGUGCCGCCCUGCUGGGGGGCAGAUGCUGGGUCCAGCUCACCCCCAGUGGGGUGUGUAUGGCCCAGGCUCGGUGUGGCUACAAGUGCCCGAAGUCCACAUUGUGGGGUCGGUGCUCUGCUCGCCACAGACUUGGUCAGUCCCAGUGCUCAAGCCGGGCUUCUUCAUGUGUAAAAUGCAGCGCUCUGUACUGUUCUGCCUCCCUCCCGGGGCUGCUGCGGAAGGCAGCUUCUCCCUCCGCUGCGGCAGAGAGAGAGGAGCAGCAGGAAGGCUUCUGCCAUCCCGGGUGCAGUUCCGCACCGGCCCCUCCCUGAAGGCCUUGAGUUCCCCAGCCUGGCCCUUGUGGCCUCGCGGCGGGCAUGUGUGCCCAAUGCCGUGCAGCUGGCAGAGCAGGAGGCAGGAGAUCCCUGAGGCUGGGUCGUGGCUACCACCUCUCUUCCUCUCAUCACCCUACCUCGGGGACCCGGGUGCCAUGUUGUGGGCACUGAGGCAGCUCUGAGGAGAGGCCCAGGUGGCAGCCUUUGAGACAGGUUCUGGCUUCCCCAGGCACUGCUACAGGGGACACCCACCAGCACCAUGUACAUGCCAAUGCCCGUGAGGCAACCUAAAGCGACACCCAAAUCCUGAGCAGAACCCCUCUCCUUGGUAUCUCUGUUCCCCAGACUCUGUGGCCUGCCCCUCCUCCUCCACGGGAAUGGCCACCCAAUGUCCUGGGUGGGCCUUACUGUGUCAUAGACACUUCAUUCUCUUCCCCUUCCUGGACGCACACAACUGGCCCGCGGACUAUAAUGGCAAGUCAGGCACAUCACUCCUGAGAUCAAAUUGGUGGUGAUUGUCCCAGUGCUCUGUCCCUGCUGUGGGAGUGGCGGAAGCCAUCAGAGAGGCCCAGUCGCUAUGCUAUGCUGCCUCCAGGCGUCGUCCAGCACCACGGUGGACUUUGUGAACAGAUUCAGUAUCGGGUCUGCAACAUAGCCUCCCUCUCCUGAUGUAGGCGUGUCUGCUCAUACCUGAACAGCCCUGAAGCCCUAUUUACUGCAGUGCCCCCUGCUGAGGGGUGUUGCACAGAGAUCUCUGAGCUUGACAUAGUCCAGAAGGGGUUUGCCUGCCAGUUCUAGCACUUCACAGCUGUGGCUGUGGGCGGUCAGUCUGCAGGCUGCUCUUGUAUCAGCUAUGACAUGGAGCUCAUAGCUGCCUGUCCUUGGGCCCCACCCUCCCCUCUCUGGGGCAGCUCUGCUCAUCUGACAUCGCAGGGGACUCUGCUGCCCACCAUAUAAGGAUCCAAACUCCCUGGCUUGGCUCCCAGCGCCCUCAAAGAGCCAACACAACCACCCAGGCUCCGUCCGUGUGUCUUGCUGUGUGUCCCUGGGACCCUAGGCUAGCCAGGCAGCCCAUUCCGUGCCUUGACAGAUCAUUGGUAUCUCUGCUCCUGCUCUCUUUCCGUCUGAAAUGCAAUGUGUAUUAAGUACCUACUCUGUGUGAACCCCUUUGUGAGGCCCCGGAGGUGGACAGCGGGACCAGACAGCUCCUGCCUCCAGGUAGCUCAGUUUUAUUUUUUUUUUUAAGAUUUUAUUAUUCAUGAGAGAUACACAGAGAGAGGCAGAGACAUAGGCAGAGGGAGAAGCAGGCUCCCUACAGGGAGCUCAACGUGGGAUUCAAUCCCAGGACCCCCGAAUCACACCCUGAGCCGAAGGCAGAUGCCCAACUGCUGAGCCACCCAGACAGCUCAGUUUAGACAAGAGCCAAGUGAAGCAACAGUUAACAAUUGAGUCAGCAGUCUGUAGUAAAUGUCACAAAGGAAGGAUAUGAGUGGGCUGUGGGAUCAGACUUGAGGCGCACCCAAAUCCAAGCCAGGAGAGAUCAUGGGAGGCUUGGUAGGGGUGUUCCAGCAGGGCGCUAAGACAUGAGGCGUUCCCAGGCAAACACGGACAGGGGAGACACUCCUGCUGGCAGGAAGAGCAUGUGGGCUGGGAAAGAGAAUGGUGUGCUCAAGAAAUGUAAGACUGUGGUCCGGGUCAAGGGAAUGGGGAGGAACGGGGAAGAAAGAAGAGGCAGGCGGGAGCCUCACUGUGAAGGGCCUCACUGCCAUAGUUUGGACUUUGUUCUGCAGGUGUGUUUGAUCAUCAAAGGGUUUUAUGUAGAAGAGGGACUUGGUCAGACAUGCAUUUCAGAAAGCUCCUGCCAGCACAGCUCCUUCCCACUGUAGUGCUGAGGACCAGUGGAGGGAAUGCAGAAUCGGGGCCCAGUCAGGCUCCUUUACAAGUGAGAGGAUGAAUUUAGCAGAUAUUAUUAUUUAAAGAUUUUAAGUAAUCUCUAAUCCCACCAAUGUGGGGCUCGAACUCCCAAUCCAUAACCCUGCGAUCAAGAGUUACACACUACCCUGAUGGAGCCAGCCAGGCCCCCUUAGCAAAGAUUAAAGAGGUAGAAUAACAGGACUCAGAGAAAUCCCUGGUGAAGACAGAAGAGGAAGGUAAGGGAGGAGGGUCAGCGGUUCCCAAAUUCAUGCUGGAAUUCUGACAGGGUGGUGGGGCUGCAGCCCCAGGUAUGUCUGGAGAAGAUAAGUUUUGUUUCGGAAGAACUGAGUGAGAGGCAACACGGAAGCCACUGCAGAGCACUGGCAGUUAUCCUGCUCAGGCCUGUGGGGUAGAUCACCCUGUGGGUACAGAGAGGUUUCUUUUUUUUUUUUUUAAAGAUUUUAUUUAUUUAUUCAUGAGAGAGAGAGAGGCAGAGACACAAGGCAGAGGGAGCUCCUUGCAGGGAGCCCGACGUGGGACUCGAUCCUGGAUCUCCAGGAUCACGCCCUGGACUAACGGCAGGGCCAAACCGCUGAGCCACCGGGACUGCCCUACGGAGAGGUUUCUGAAGAGGGAAGCCAUUCCUGGUGCUGGUCACCCAUGACGUCAACCUCAGGACACCAAACUCCAAGAACCAUGAAGGGAGGCUGGGGGCCAGGCGAGAGAGCCAUGUCAGCCCUGAGGUGCACAUGGGGAGCCGUGCUGUGUGGUGAGAUGGGCCAGAAAUGUAAUUCUCAUCUGUGAUCUCCUACCUUUAUUAAAGCCUUGGUUGUCUCACUAGC
rnacentral:lncRNA from 1 species